UUGAUGCGCAUCACUGUAAGACCAGCUGCUGAGUCUCCAGGUCUGGGUUACAAAAUUCAAUCAAGGCUGAUGGUGUGUGUGUGUGUGUGUGUGUGUGUGUGUGUGUGUGUGUGUGUGUGUGUGUGUGUGUGUGUGUGUGUGUGUGUGUGUGUGUGUGUGUGUGUGUGUGUGUGUGUGUGUGUGUGUGUGUGUGUGUGUGUGUGUGUUCAGCAGUGCCCACCCAGUGCAGUGGUGUGUGUGUGAGUGAUCAGGAGCUGUCCCGGCUGGUGGCUCUCACUCCUCUCUCACGGACCAUCCAGGAGAUCCAGGAGUCUCUGCGGAGCCUGCCCCGCCCACAGGAAGCAGUGACCGAGGAGGAGCCGCCCUCCUGCCCCGCCACGCCCCUCACGCCCCUGACGCCCCUCGCCCUGGACUCCCUCUCCCCCUGGCACUUCUCCGUCUUCCUGUUCGGCUGCCACCUCGUCCGCCUGCUCCGGGGCAUCCAGGGCUUCCCCCAGGUCCUGCUGCUCCUGGCUAAGAGCGUGCCCGCGGCAGCCGCCUCUCACACCGACGACAGCAUGGUGGCCUACUGCUGCGGGGACUUUUAUUAUGACACACGCAACCAGAUCCUCUACCUGCUGGAGUCCAGGCUGCAGGACGUGGGCCAGUGGGUCUCCGUGCUCCUGCACUCCAUGGCCUACGUCAGCGCCGGCCAGGAGGGAGCUCGGCCCAGAGAGUUCAUGGAGGCCUUCCACAAGGCCCUGUCAGUGCUGGGGCUAGAGCUGUUCACACACUCUUUCACUCAGGACCAGAGGAGUACAGAGGACGAGGGCACCAGGAGUUUUCGAGGGACAGUCGUCGAGGACUUCUUGAGUGUGAGAGUGUCCUCUGACACACAUCUCACACCACACCUGCUGCAGGAGAGGCUUCAGAAAUACAAGUACUUCAAGCUGGAGCAGGUUCUCCAUGACCUCAGUCCAGCGAGGCAGCCUGAAGGUAUUGUGUGUGGAGCAGGAGAUAAAGAGGCUUAAUGACGUGUACCUGCAGCUGGGCUCACAGCUUCUGAGCCAAUCACCUGGGGCACACACACACUGUCACACACAGUCUCUCUCCCAGGCACCUCCAGAGACGGCUGUGGCCCAGGAGAGGACCCUGCUUCUGAGUCUGCAGCAGCACACCGUAGCCAAGAGGCUGGAGGAGAUGAGAGAGAAGCUCUCCAGGAUCACACCCCAGAAAACACACACCCCGCAGAAAUCACUUCCUGCUCAACACACACCAACACACAGCACCCUCUUGACAGAGAGCCAGGCCCAGGCCCAGACACACACACACCAGCCAGAGGAGCUGAAAUCAGAGAGCAGCGUCUCCCAGCAGGACACAGCAAAGCCCAGCGUCUAACACACACACACACACAGCAAAGCCCAGCGUCUAACACACACAGCAAAGCCCAACAUCUAACACACACAGCGUCUAACACACACAGCGUCUAACACACACAGCAAAGCCCAGCGUCUAACACACACAGCAAAGCCCAGCGUCUGACACACACAGCAAAGCCCAGCGUCUAACACACACAGCGUCUAACACACACAGCGUCUAACACAUACAGCAAAGCCCA
ensembl:lncRNA